GAAAAACCUUUUGGAAAUAAGACUCUAUUAUGAUUCUUUAAGUUAUUUGCUUGUGGAAACGAUCCCAGAAUACAACAUGGAAGACAUUGUAGGUAUUUUUGGAGGAAUGAUGGGGAUAUUUUUAGGAGCCAGCUUGCUGACAUUGUUAGAACUAGCUGAGUUUGCUAUUCUGUCUAUAGCUAGUGGAAUGAAAAAGUGUUACCAGUCUGUACAAAAAAAAACAAUCUGACCAUGAGUUGUCACACAAUUACUAAAUAUUGCACAUGAAAAAAGCUUUGGAUUUGUGAUUAAGGUUUGUGGGAACUGUCAAAAACAGCUGUCUAAAAUAACUCAUACCUCGUAAUUUGAUGUUUAAGACGUACUAUAAUCUUGGACCUUUUCUGAAAAAGGCGUAUAGCAAAAAUGUGUAAUGCCAAGACAUCAGAAUUGAUUAUCACAUUGAUCUGGAAAAGAAACAAAUUACUCAUCGAAGGAAUUUCGGAUAUUAAAAGGCCUAUGUAAUAUCGACGUUGUAUUUUCAGCAUUUUCUUUGAACUAAUCUGCUUUGAUCUAAAGACUUCAGUAGUAAUUCGAUAUAAUACUUUUGGAAAAAUUUACUUUAGAGCCGUUCCUAAUUUGAUUACUGUACAUAUCAAUUGUAUAUAUAUGUAAAGUGUUGUCAUCAUGGUCAUAUAAAUUGUAUUGGUCAACACCUGGAUAAAAUCAUACAUUGUUCGGUUUAUGAGUAUAAUCUAGUAUUGCUGGAUGGUUUGCAAAUUAUAUAUUAUCUGUCAACUCUUUUAGAGAAAUAAGUGUUUACUGUCUUGUCAAAAUAAACUUAAAAUUAUAAACGUGACAAAAAAACACGACGGUCACUUUCCUAUUGUGAACAUUAUUUUUAAAAUUUGUUUAUGAAAAUAACAGUUUUUGUUUGGCAAUUCUUUUGGACUGUGUACUGUAAAGACAUUGGUCUAUUUUGGAUGACCACAAAUUUAUAAACAAAUGCGUUCUUUAAAAGUUAAAAUAUUUUUUGGGAUUAUCGCUAGAAAUCUUUACAUCCAAAUAACAUAUGUAUAACUGUUUGCUUGUAAUUAUAACAUAAACAUCCCGGUUGCGGAAUUUUUUAUAUCUAUGCACAUGAUAUUCUUGAGUGUCCAGUUAUGCACCUUCACAUAUGGCACUUAUCUGUUCAUGCUUAUUUUUUAUUCAAAUCAUUUAUAAAGUUUUCUAAAUUUC